rnacentral:rRNA from 1 species
AACGUAGGACGCAAGCGUUAUCCGGAGUUACUGGGCGUAAAGCGCGUUCAGGCGGUUCGGCAAGUCGGGCAUGAAAUCUCUCGGCUCAACCGGGAGAGGUUGUCCGAUACUGUUGGACUUGAGGGCAGUAGAGGGUGGUGGAAUUCCGGGUGUAGUGGUGAAAUGCGUAGAUAUCCGGAGGAACACCAGUGGCGAAAGCGGCCACCUGGACUGUACCUGACGCUCAAACGCGAAAGCUAGGGGAGCGAACGGG